GCUGUGCAGCACGCAAAACACUGCUAAGCUUUAGAUUUUGUAUUAAUAUUGUUUCUUUGUUUUCUGUGGCUGCAGUGCAGAGUCCGCUGAUCGUAUCUCGGCUUAUCGGCGGCGUCAUGCCCGUGUAGGGUCGGACAGCCGAGGGAGUGCUCCAAUGGAGCGCGGCGGGUCUGACGAUUGUCCUCAUAAAUUGUGUGUGUGUCGGGGUGCAGAGGGGCUAAGUGAGCAGUAAAUAACAAAGGGUUCUGCCGCCAUCCGUUCACCAUCGCCACAUUUCCGGCCACGCAAGAUUACCCAGGAUGCCCCUGGAGGGGCGUCUUCUUCCUCUGUGUGAUGAAUGGACAAGAGGAGGGAGGAACACGCCUUUGCCACCCAGCCUCUGACAGAGAAAAGUGUCAGCCUUCCCUCCACCCUCCCACUGCUGACUUGGGCAUCAGUGCAGAGAGCUUUUUAUGGCCCCUUGACUUUCCAAGGGAGUGGGUGGGAUUUAAUAUAUGGUGGAGGAGGCAGAAGGAGGAGGUGAAACCUGCACGGCUUUCUGCCUGCCCUUAAUGCUUCCCCUGUCUCUGGAGCAGGAGUCUUGGAAAUAAUGCUGGACACUGAUACUAUCUGGCUGUACUAUGUAACUGCUGGGACAUGACAAUACUGCAUGAUGAAAUGUUCACCAGAGAUGUGCAAAUAAUCAGGAGUUGUGUUUCGUGGAAGGCAGAGAGCAUGAUGAAAGGUGCAAUUUGUGUGAGUGGCCACACCUUAGGGAAAAACAAAAAUGUGCACAUCUCAACCAGGUGCAGGACCAAAAUAUGAAAAGGGAAGGAUUGCACUAAGAAUGUCACCCCUGGUGAACCAGCAAACCUGAACCCCCUCUUGUGCUGAGACGGGACUGAGGAUGUGCUCCAGCAUCACUUUUUCCCCCCAACAUUUUCUCUGUGGUUCAGUAUUUUUCUAUUACAGCGUUUGAAAGGUCACUGUGCACUGUUGGUACUGCUCUAACUCCAGAGGAAUGAUGGCAUAUGCACCACAACUCAUGUGCUAUCAAGAGAUAAGAAAUUGAAAAUCAGAAAUGCAAAAUGCUGAUCACAGUACACCACAUGAAUAGGGUGUGAUUCAUUUAAAUAAAUGAAAUAUUUAUCCUGUUUAUUAAAUCAGAAGGCUUCUUCUAAUUGUUAAAUCCAUCCCAGCGCUUCUUUCCUUCACUUGUCGACAUGUGCCCCCCAAAUAGUCUAGAGACUGGUAAUUAGAGCAGAGUGGGAGAUUUUCAAUUCCUAAUGCAACACAAUAUGAACAGCGGCCAGCACAAACCCAGUGCCUUACCCGAUGCUCCGUUGGCACUAAGUGAAAUUCCAAUUAACUGACCCAAAUGUCUGCAGGGAGUGUUUGUCUGAGUGUGGUGAGAAUGCAAUUAUUUUCUAUCUUGUACUUGGAUGUCAUCUGUGUAGUGAGUAGCAGCAGCAGCAUUCUGUAGUGAGUCCACAUUUUGUAAAGGCAGUUUUAUAAAGCGUCAACUUUCGCUUCUGCACUGUGCCACCGUGGAAGGGUGAAAUGCAAUUCAUUAUUUGUUUCCGAUGGUCCAGUGGGCAGCAGAACUGAGGAAGCACAAGACAGAAAUUAUUUACAUUGUGUGCAGUGAAGCACCUAAAGAUAGCAAAGCUCAGUUAGACUCCUUGUUACACAGUUAUUGUCAUAGUGAGGUGCGAUGUUUGUAACAAUGACUGAGAGUCUCUUAGGAGGCAAUGCGCCACGGGUAGUGAUGAAAAAAAAUACCUGCUACCAAACUCCUCCAUCCAGCUGAGAGCAGGUGGAGGAGUGAAGCUCUGUAACUGCCCCAUGCUGUGCUUUAAAGAACAGUUCAAACAAUUUAGUUUGUCAAAGAGGGACUCCUGCCCUACUUUCUCCAGCUUUCUGUGAAUCUUUAGCUAUUCCCUGUGCUGCAUCUAGACCUUUGCUGAGAUGAGAACUGCUCCAGGGACGGUAAUUUGUCUAUAUAAAUAAAUACCUCGGUGCUUAAAUGCCCUAUUGGAUGACUGAUUAGGUUGAAAAAAACAUAAAUUGGAAGUUGGCUUCAUUCUUACACUGCUGGUGCCAUGGCAUCGCAGAAAGAAAGAAGGGAAAGGAAGCAAAAGAUGAUGAAGUGGUGGCAUGUUUCUUCAGGACAAACGGGGUGGGGAGAGGUUAAGGAAAAUAAACAAUAAGCAAACACGCAGGUACACACACAGAAGCACAAAGAGAUAAGGGCUGGUGAAAUAAAAUGCUGAUCCAUGGUCCUUGUCUGGGAAGGCAAAAACAGAACAUUGAUUCUGCAAGAUCCACAAAUGAAAAAUCCAUGGGGCUAAGGAGCUCCUCGGCCCUGCGGCAGAGAAAGGGCACCAGCGGUCAGGCUCUCGUAUCGCAAGUGACACCGAGACCGGCCCUCUCACUGGGUGGCAGCGGGCAGCUCUGGAUCAGCUGGACAACAGCCAAAACCAGCGUAACCAGCAGGACACGGCCUGAGAAGGUGGAAAGAAGAACAUUUACUUUUCAGAUUAGAAAAGAAACAAAAAGCUUUUCAUUGUAUUAGUGAUCAUAUGAUAUGGGAAAAAUACAAAAUAUACUGUACCAUAAUGAAUAAUAUUAUUUGUGUAUCUAAA